GACGAAGGGGGCUAGCGUUGUUCGGAAUUACUGGGCGUAAAGCGUGCGUAGACGGUUAUUUAAGUCAGGUGUGAAAGCCCCGGGCUCAACCUGGGAAUUGCAUUUGAGACUGAAUAGCUAGGGUGCGGAAGAGGGAAGCGGAAUUUCCGGUGUAGCGGUGAAAUGCGUAGAUAUCGGAAGGAACACCAGUGGCGAAAGCGGCUUCCUGGUCCAGCACCGACGUCAGGCACGAAAGCGUGGGGAGCAAACAGG
rnacentral:rRNA from 1 species